rnacentral:lncRNA from 1 species
GAGGAAGAUAGCAUGACCAAUGUACCGAAGAGCAAUGUCCCGCAAAAAGAUCCAAUUGAACUGUUACCAAAUGCGGAUGAAAGAACAAUAAACCUAAGUGAUAAGGAGCGUGAUAUUGGAGAAAUAUCAUUUGGAAAGAGGAAAUUCACUUCAACUUGUGUGGGAGCACUACAAAAGACAGAAAAUUGGUGAGAAAUGGAAGGCUAUAUGCAAUCAUUGCAAGAAAUAGUUAGGGGGUAAAACAAAAAUUGGUAAAAAGCCUUUGCAUGAUCAUUUGAAGAGAUGUGUAUUCCGUUAUAAGGAUAAUACUCACCAAGCAAUAUUAAAUUUCAAAAAGGAUGCCACGAGUGGCAAGCUCACAACUCUUUCGAUCCAGAUAAAUGUAGAUAUAGCCUUUCAAAAAUGGUGAUUUUGCAUGAGUAUCCUUUGUCUAUAGUUGAUCACAUUGAAUUUCGAGAGUUUUUGCAUGACCUAAAACCAUUGUUUAAGGUUCCUUCUCGCAACACUUUGAAAAUCUAUGAAUACGAAAGAGCCAAAAAUAUGAUUGCACUUGAGAAGAUUGAGAGUCGAAUUUCGAUCACUACCGACAUGUGGACCUCUUCUAAUCAAAAGAGUGGAUAUAUGGUUAUCACUGCUCAUUUCAUAAAUGAAGCGUGGAAAUUAUAGAGUCGAAUCGUGAGGUAUAGUAAAACAUUACAUUCACUUGUUCUCAUAAUUUACCAAAAUGAUAUUCUUUUAGUUGAUUUAAUUUGUUCUUGAAUGAACUCAGGUUUAUAUAUGUACCGUGCCCACACACUGCUGAUAUGCUUUUAGAAACUCUAUUGAGCAGCUUGAUGGACUGG